rnacentral:rRNA from 1 species
CCUACGGGAGGCAGCAGUGAGGAAUAUUGGUCAAUGGGCGUAAGCCUGAACCAGCCAAGUCGCGUGAGGGAUGAAGGUUCUAUGGAUGGUAAACCUCUUUUAUAAGGGAGUAAAGUGCGGGACGUGUACCGUUUUGUAUGUACCUUAUGAAUAAGGAACGGCUAACUCCGUGCCAGCAGACGCGGUAAUACGGAGGAUCCGAGCGUUAUCCGGAUUUAUUGGGGUUAAAGGGUGCGUCGGCGGCCUUUUAAGUCAGCGGUGCAAGUCUGUGGCUCAACCCUAGAAUUGCCGUUGAAACUGGGAGGCUUGAGUAUGUUUGAGGCCGGCGGCAUGCGUGGUGUAGCGG